rnacentral:rRNA from 1 species
GUCUUCGAUAGUCCGAGUUGUAAUCUAUAGACGUGUUUUCCGUGCUGGACCGUAUCUAAGUCCCUUGGAACAGGGUAUCAAAGAGGGUGACAAUCCCGUGCUUGAUACGACCACCAGUGCUCUGUGAUACACGCUCUACGAGUCGAGUUGUUUGGGAAUGCAGCUCAAAAUGGGUGGUAAAUUCCAUCUAAAGCUAAAUAUUGGCGAGAGACCGAUAGCGAACAAGUACCGUGAGGGAAAGAUGAAAAGCACUUUGGAAAGAGAGUUAAACAGUACGUGAAAUUGUUGAAAGGGAAACGAUUGAAGUCAGUCGUGUUCUUUGGAUUCAGCUAGUUCUUCUAGUCUACUUCCAUUGAACGGGUCAACAUCAGUUUUGUCCGGUGGAUAAAGAUAGUAGGAAUGUAGCUCCCCCGGGAGUGUUAUAGACUAUUAUUGCAUACACUGGGUGAGACUGAGGACUGCAGCUCGCCUUUUGGCCGGUCUUCGGACACGUUCGAGCUUAGGAUGUUGACAUAAUGGCUUUAAACGAC